rnacentral:rRNA from 1 species
UACGGGGGGGGCGAGCGUUGUUCGGAAUUACUGGGCGUAAAGGGCGCGUAGGCGGCCCGCUAAGUCGAACGUGAAAUCCCCGAGCUCAACUCGGGAACUGCGUCCGAUACUGGCGGGCUUGAAUCCGGGAGAGGGAUGCGGAAUUCCAGGUGUAGCGGUGAAAUGCGUAGAUAUCUGGAGGAACACCGGUGGCGAAGGCGGCAUCCUGGACCGGCAUUGACGCUGAGGCGCGAAAGCUAGGGGAGCAAACGGG